UCAGUGAAUACGUGAGGCUAUUCUGGGGGUAAUGUCAGUGGAUACGUGAGGCUAUUCUCGGGGCAAUUUCAGUGGGUAGAUAGGCUAUAUCUCAAUAUCCUCUCAAAUGACCUCUUCAUAAUCAAUUCAUGUCUUAAUACGGGAUUCCCCUACUUUAUCGGGGCCAGGGGCCUCAUAGAGAAGUAGGACGGGGUCCUAAAGCCAGGCGCACGCGGUGAGGAAAAUUUCACUCGUGUACUUUGCUCACUGCCUCCCGAGGCCAAAAAACUCAGAGUGUGCGGACGUCGCUCGAACGAAAUUGCGUCUCACGAGCAACUAUAGCUAUAUUCUCUCCUGCUUGAACUGCGAGUUUCAGCGAGCAAAGUACACGUGUGAAAUUUUCCUCACCGUGGGACGGGGUCCUAAGGACCACCCAUUCGAUAUACAUUUUUUAAAAGAACAUCUAAUUUUCACCUGAGGCCGAGCGGUUCUAAUUUUUAAAGUUGUUAUGAACAUUGAAAAUACAAAAAAGAACCUUGAUUUAAAUUGAACGGAUUAGAUAAUUUAGGCAAUUGUUUAGUUAAGCUACCACGGCUUCCUCUACUUUGAGCACAGCCGCCCUCUCCUAUGAUUAGACUGAUAAGAUUUAUUGUAGUUUACGCAUUUCCCUUUGAGUAAGAGUUUAGGAAUGAGGCACGUCCUACUUUAGGACACGUCCCACCUGCCUAUAAAUUAUAGUACCCAUUUAGCAAUCUUUAAGAGUUGAGCAGAGAAACCGAAGAGAGAAGAAUUGAGUUGAGAGCCAGAGAAGCAGAGUUAGAGAAGUCAGAAUGGAGUUUGAAGAGUUACAAGCUUACUUGGAGUUGUAUUUCUUUAAGCCCCGGAGACGAGAUCAGACUUAUCACCGCAUGUGUUCGAUAGUUGGACGAGUUGAUUGUAAUAAACGCUGUUAAAUCAA